GACGAACGCUGGCGGCGUGCCUAAUACAUGCAAGUUGAGCGCUGAAGGUUGGUACUUGUACCAACUGGAUGAGCAGCGAACGGGUGAGUAACGCGUGGGGAAUCUGCCUUUGAGCGGGGGACAACAUUUGGAAACGAAUGCUAAUACCGCAUAAAAACUUUAAACACAAGUUUUAAGUUUGAAAGAUGCAAUUGCAUCACUCAAAGAUGAUCCCGCGUUGUAUUAGCUAGUUGGUGAGGUAAAGGCUCACCAAGGCGAUGAUACAUAGCCGACCUGAGAGGGUGAUCGGCCACAUUGGGACUGAGACACGGCCCAAACUCCUACGGGAGGCAGCAGUAGGGAAUCCUCGGCAAUGGACGAAAGUCUGACCGAGCAACGCCGCGUGAGUGAAGAAGGUUUUCGGAUCGUAAAACUCGGUUGGUAGAGAAGAACGUUGGUGAGAGUGGAAAGCUCAUCAAGUGACGGUAACUACCCAGAAAGGGACGGCUAACUACGUG
rnacentral:rRNA from 1 species